GAUGAAGAACGUAGCGAAAUGCGAUAAGUAAUGUGAAUUGCAGAAUUCAGUGAAUCAUCAAAUCUUUGAACGCACAUUGCGCCCGCCAGUAUUCUGGCGAGCAUGCCUGUUCGAGCGUCAUUUCAACCAUCAAGCCCCAGGCUUGUGUUGGAGCCCUGCGGCUGCCGCAGCCUCCCAAAACCAGUGGCGGGCUCGCUAUCACACCGAGUGCAGUAGUUUACUCUUCGCUCAGGGCGUGUGGCGGGUGCUAGCCGUGAAACCCCCAACUUCUCAAGGUUGACCUCGGAUCAGGUAGGAAUACCCGCUGAACUUAAGCAUAUCAAUAAGCGGAGGA
rnacentral:misc_RNA from 1 species